GGGGUGUAGCUCAGUUGGGAGAGCGCCUGCUUUGCAAGCAGGAGGUCGUCGGUUCAAUCCCGAUCACCUCC
rnacentral:tRNA from 1 species